rnacentral:rRNA from 1 species
GCCGCGGUAAUUCCAGCUCCAAUAGCGUAUAUUAAAGUUGUUGCAGUUAAAAAGCUCGUAGUUGAAUUUCGGGAUCAAUUUAUCGGUCGUGCCAAUGGUAUGAACUGGUACAAUUGGUUUCUCCCUUCUGACGAAGCAUGAUGUCAUUAAUUUGGUGUCGUGGGGAAUCAGGACUGUUACUUUGAAAAAAUUAGAGUGUUUAAAGCAAGCAUUAGCUUGAAUACAUUAGCAUGGAAUAAUGAAAUAGGACGUUUGAUCCUAUUUCGUUGGUUUCUAGGAUCGACGUAAUGAUUAAUAGGGAUAGUUGGGGGCAUUAGUAUUCAAUUGUCAGAGGUGAAAUUCUUGGAUUUAUUGAAGACUAACUACUGCGAAAGCAUUUGCCAAGGAUGUUUUCAUUAAUCAAGAACGAAAGUUAGGGGAUCGAAGACGAUCAGAUACCGUCGUAGUCUUAACCAUAAACUAUGCCGACUAGGGAUCGGAUGAUGUUAAUUUUUUAAUGACUCAUUCGGCGCCUUACGGGAAACCAAAGUGUUUGGGUUCCGGGGGGAGUAUGGUCGCAAGGCUGAAACUUAAAGGAAUUGACGGAAGGGCACCACCAGGGGUGGAGCCUGCGGCUUAAUUUGACCCAACACGGGGAAACUCACCAGGUCCAGACAUAGUAAGGAUUGACAGAUUGAGAGCUCUUUCUUGAUUCUAUGGGUGGUGGUGCAUGGCCGUUCUUAGUUGGUGGAGUGAUUUGUCUGGUUAAUUCCGAUAACGAACGAGACCUUAACCUGCUAAAUAGCUAGGCUUAGCAUUGCUAGGUCGUCAGCUUCUUAGAGGGACUAUCGGUGUUUAACCGAUGGAAGUUUGAGGCAAUAACAGGUCUGUGAUGCCCUUAGAUGUUCUGGGCCGCAUGCGCGCUACACUGAUGAAGUCAACGAGUUCACUCCCUUUGUCGGAAGACAUGGGUAAUCUUUUGAAACUUCAUCGUGCUGGGGAUAGAGCAUUGCAAUUAUUGCUCUUAAACGAGGAAUCCCUAGUAAGUACAAGUCAUCAGCUUGUGCUGAUUACGUCCCUGCCCUUUGUACACACCGCCCGUCGCUACUACCGAUUGAAUGGCUUAGUGAGGACUUCGGAUUGAGCUUCGGAAGCUGUAAAAGGCAUCCGAUUUUUAAAAAGUUGUUCAAACUUGGUCAUUUAGAGGAAGUAAAAGUCGUAACAAGGUUUCCGUAGGUGAAUCUGCGGAAG